AUUGAACGCUGGCGGCAUGCCUAACACAUGCAAGUCGAACGGAGUGGCGGACGGGUGAGUAAUGCAUAGGAAUCUGCCCGGUAGCGGGGGAUAACUUCCGGAAAGGGUCGCUAAUACCGCAUACUAUCAGAGCGGCCGAGGUCGGAUUAGCUAGUUGGUGGGGUAAAGGCCUACCAAGGCGACGAUCCGUAGCUGGUUUGAGAGGAGGACCAGCCACACGGGAACUGAGACACGGCCCAGACUCCUACGGGAGGCAGCAGGGGGGAAUAUUGGACAAUGGGGGAAACCCUGAUCCAGCCAUGCCGCGUGUGUGAAGAAGGUCUUCGGGUUGUAAAGUACUUUAAGUGGGGAGGCGUUACUAGCAGAAGAAGCACCGGCUAACUCCGUGCCAGCAGCCGCGGUAAUUC
rnacentral:rRNA from 1 species